AUGGCAGUCAUAGCCGGGUUAGGCACCUAUGGGCAUCACUAUCGCCACCAUCCUUUGAUCCGCUUCCUCUACCUAGGAGCCAUCACCUUGUUCCUACCCAUUGUAUCUGAUGUCGUCUCCACCAUCCCAAAUCCUUACACCAUCACUGUUUAUCCAAAACACGACCGAGUCAUAUUAUCAAACUGUGAAGCAGACGGCCAUGUCUUCCUGGUCAUAUUGUGGAUCGGUCUUGUUCAGAUCGUUGGUGCCAACGCCACAACAAUAGUGGCCAGUGAUUCUAGAGAAGGUCGAAGCAUUGCACCCUCUGCAGUGCAACUUGUUAAAGCAAUCUGGACUUCCUACCUGGCCUACAUGAUGAUAGAAUCAGGCCUAGAGCCAUAUGGAUAUAAUGUCAAAUGGUCUCAAGAUCGGCAGCUUUCUCUCCUAGAUAUUCUCCUCCUUGCACUACCAUAUGCUCUUAUUUUGUCCAAAUUGCUUUUGAAGUACUAUGCAUGGUACAAGGCCUCGCGAUCAUUAGCGUUUGGACGCAAUCCGCGCCUCAUUGUUGGAUACAUGGAGAAGCUACAAGUAGGAACCCAUUAUGCUGAGUUGGCAAUAAGUGAGCAUGAUGUACCUCCUCCACUCAUAGUUAUGGGAGAGGACACUGUAUUGGUAGAGAAGCAACCUCAUGGUUACAGCCUGGCAGGGAUGAACAUCAACAAUGGCUUACUGACCAUCGACAGAGUUUGGCAGUUGGAUGACACAUUAUUGCUUUGGAGAUCAAAAGAUUUGUGCCUUGCAUUCGCAUUGUUCAAGAUGCUACGGUGUCGGUUUGCAAGCAUCGGCUACUGCUUAUUUGUCAUCACCUUUUUGGUAACAACUUUCCGAGGUUACAGUGCUCUAGAUUAUGAGCAGAUUUAUUGUCAUCCGGUACACUGCCAUCCUGUAUCCGGUUCUACAUAUACGUAUAGGAGUGAGAGUAAAGCAGAGGUGAGUUUUGGAAGAUUGUUGUUUGACUUUUUGCCAGUGUGUCUACUUGGGACACUAGGUGUGCUUGUUGAAGCGAGGGAGAUUGCUUCUUACAUCUGCUCCAACUGGACUAAAGUAGCCCUGAUUUGUGGCUAUCGAUGGGAGGACAAGAUGUACCAGUGCUCAAUCCUAGUUCUCCACCCAAGUAGAAAUCCAAUUGCUCUUCUUCGACGUAUCCUUCAUCUGCCGGACCUGAAGAUGAAGAUACCAAGAGCAGUGAACGCCGCCGUCCUCGACGUGCUCAGAAACAAUGGCGCAACACCUCGACAGCUGCAAGUCGGCAGCGACCUCCUCUGGACAUUCCAUGAAGCCAAGGGCGCAGCCGAUGCCAUGCUCGUGUGUCACGUUGCCACAAGCAUCCUUGUAAUGACAAGAUCACGAGAGCAACUUCCCUCCGACCAUGAGAUCGUCGCCACUCACCUCUCGCGAUAUUGCGCCUAUUUGGUGGCAUGUUGUCCCAAGCUCCUUCCCGACGACCACGUGUGGUGCAGGAGCUUGUAUAAGGCUGUCAAGAAGGACGCUGGGCGUGUCCUCGCCGGCCACGACAUUACGGUGUCGUCGUUGGAAGCGGAGCACCGGCGGCUGGUGGAGCUGCUGAGGGCACGGUCCAAGCACCAGGUCCUCAAGGAUGGUGCGGAGCUCGGGCAACGGCUUGCUGAGCUGCCGGAAGGAGAGGAGGUGGCGUGGAAGGCCCUCGCCGGCUUCUGGACGGAGAUGAUCGUCAGCGUCGCCGCUACUCGUGACAACAUCGACGAGCACGCGGAAGCCGUUGCCCGGGGCGGGGAGCUGGUAACUCUCCUCUGGGCGUUGCUGGCCCAUGUCGGCAGCGUCGACGACUACACGGCCGCUGCCACUCAUGGUGCUCCCGAUGUUGUUUAA
rnacentral:rRNA from 1 species